rnacentral:misc_RNA from 1 species
AUAAUCUUGCCAUGCCAAAAUCUGCGAUCUUUGCAUUCAUCUCUUCAUCUAAUAAAAUGUUACCAGCUUUGAGAUCACGGUGAAUAAUCCGAAGUCGAGAAUCUUCAUGAAGGUAAAGAAGACCUCGAGCAAUGCCUGAGAUAAUUUUGUAGCGUGUCUCCCAAUCCAAAUGUGCUCUCUUGACUGGGUCAAAUAUGAAGUUGUUGAGGCUGGAGUUAGGCACAAACUCAUAGACAAGAAGCCUUUCUUCCAUUUCAAAGCAGAAACCCCGUAGUCUAACCAAAUUCUUGUGCUGAAGCUUGGCCACCAAUAUGACCUCAUUCUUAAAUUCUAGUUCUCCCUGUGCUGAUUCCCUGGACAACCUCUUCACAGCUAUAUCUUGUCCAUUGGGAAGCCUACCCUUGUACACAGUCCCAAAUCCACCCUGUCCAAGCUUAUUAGCUUCUGAGAAGUCAUUUGUUGCUGUUCUCACAGUGUCAAAGUCAAAUUGCAAGGAUUCCGCAUCUCCAAUUUCAUAAUCAUCUAUAGCUUUGAAUUCUUCCUUUUUGUUCCUUGCUUUAUAGAAGAUGAAUAGGCAAAUUGUAAGAAUUGCAGAAAUUGCUAUUGCGACAACUACAAUGAUGACAGUACGUGAUUCUUUUCUCUUCCUUCCUGCAAAAAACAUAAAUUUAAUUUGUUCAGUGUUGAAAUUGCUGGUUUGGUCUUAAAACUGGAAACAGAGCAAUGUUGACAUAGCGAAAUCACAGAGAUUUUUUUAUAACAUUAACAAGUCCUUGGCUAUGCUUCAACGUGGAACUUAUUGGCAACUGUUGAAGUUGAUCCUGCAGGUGGAGGUGAUGGGGGCGGAAUAUUCUCAGGAGUGUAGAAACGGUCUGUCUCAUAUCUGAAAUUACAGCUUGGGAAGAUAACUCUUCCUCCACUUCUAACCUCACAACACUGUGGAAUAAGUCCUGAAGCAUUAUACAGGCAAUCUCUGCAUUCAGACUCGGUUAAAUCAGGGGUACACUGUACAAGUGCAUAUAUGGUUUGAAAGUUGGGGGCAGCAAUUUGGUCCAUUGCGUACUUGUAAGGAGAAUUUGCAGCUUUGUCCCGUAGGCUGUCUAACAAGGUCGACCUUGACCGAUUGAACCCGCUUACGUCGGUGACAUUAAUCUCUCUAUACACCCAAAAGUAAGGUACCUUUUCCAUUAGUCUGAAAAUGAAGCGGUUUGCGUAGCGCACCAUACAAUAAUCUUGCCCUCCAAUGGCCUCCUUAAAGUUUGGACAGAGCGUGAGGAGGGAAUUACUGGCAUUUUUUAUACAGGCACGGCAAGCUUGAGGAUUAACGUCUGGCCUACAGAGAGCAAUAGCAUUAACAACGUCAGGAUCUUGUCCAUACGAGAAAUUGUAGAACCCGUUGUCUAUUUCAGUGUUGGUGUAGAUGGAAGUGAGGAGGCGAUUGAGGUUUGCUUGGUAGGUACUGUUAGUGGAGUAGAUACCCUUGUCUGCAGUGCAAUUGUAGUAUAACAUUUUAGGCAGAGGCUGAGCUAAAGUGAGAGCCAAGAAAUGAAUGGCAAGAGGACAAAGAAAGAAAAGAAACGUAGAAAAAGCCAUAUUCUUUGUGUUAUCCUGCCUUUCUAAAUCUCGCAGAUAGAAUGUAUAUAGAUUGGGUUAGCAAUCCUUUAGCUUCCCUUGUUUUUGCUCCUAGGUCCGCAAACUCUUGUGCUGACUGAGUUGCUGUAAAAACUAGAUUGGGCUUAUUAUUUCAAGGGUGGGUUUCUAAUCCUCCCCAGCAACUUGCUGCUUUGUUGUAUAAGGAUUGUCCUGUUUCUCUUGGUUAAUGAAUUUUCAUAUUUGGGGUAAAAAAGGAUAGAAUGUAAACAGGCAGGUAUGUGUAUAUGAAAUCCAUUGCACACCUUAUCUAGGAAGAAUGAUAUAAAGAUGGGUAAUGAGUUGCCUUCCUUAGACUUGUGCAAUCAAACUCGGUCACGGUGUAAACUUUCCUAACAAAAAUGGAUUACAGGUGGUGAUGAGUAAUCUAUCAACUUGAGAAAGGGGGAUUUUGCAUAACAGUGAAGAAAAA